CGGCGUUACCCCUUUUGGGGGGCUGUUGCAGCCUUUGCAAAAGCCCAGCUGAAUUAUUAGUAUAUAUUAUAUAUUACUAUAGGUAGUCCUCGAUUUACGACCACCAAGAAGCCCAAACUUUUUGCUGUUUAAGUGAGACAGGGAAUCUCGGUGACCUGCACGCCUCACUUAAACCUGAAGAUGUUGAUGUGGGUUCUUUUCCUGCCAAUUUUUGCUUCUCAUCUGGUCUACCUAAACAUAGGAAAGAAGCUCAAGGGAACCCCGAAACCCAAAAUAACCCAGAAAGAGCUGGAAUAUGCAAAGACCGUGGUGAUGGAGUUGCUCCUGCAACAACUGAGGAAGGAGCAGCAAAUCCGAGAUCAAAGCAGCAGUUACAACGUGCCCACCUUGGGAGAUGUUGUAGAAGGAUUGGCAAAUCCUGGGGCCCAAAUGAAAAGAGGACGUAUCAUAGAGUUGCUAUGUAAACAGAAACGCUCCAAGUCAUCUCCCCACACCCUCAACUGAAGUCUGUUAACCUUGAUCUAGCACCAAAGUUGUACAAACCAGGGGUCUCCAAC